GAGCAGCCCUACAGGAUGAAUUGGCAGCAGUAGCUUCAGUUUUGUGGAAUCCUUACAGUGCUCCCUGGUGGAAGUGUGCCAGCUUCUUCCCCUAACCUGUCUAGGAAACAAGACCUCCAAUCCAGCAAAGCCUAAGGUGCUAGGAAUGGGAAGCACAAUUCUGCAAGUUUGUUGUGUAAGCCUGCAGUCAUCAAGGACAAGCCUGGCUGAAGUCCACUGAAGGAAUUAUCCUGUACACUUCAUCUUUGCCUCAGGUAACACUUCAACAUGAGCAGACAUGCCAAGUGGAUGGAAACACGGUCGUUGGCCCUUUGAAGUGAGAUGGCAAACCUGGGAAAACACUCAGCCUGAGCUGCUGUGUUCAGAAUAACCCAAGAUUGACCUAGAGGGAGACAGACCACAUGGAGAGGGAGACCCUGCUGUCCCAGCUCUUCCUGCCUUCCCAGAUGAAUGUGAGGCCCUUCUCAACCACUCAGCUCCAGCCAGCCAAGAUCAGAAGAAUCAUCCAGCCAGUCCACAGAAUCUGAUCAUGUUGAGGAUUAAAUUAGAAAACACAAGUGAAAUGGAUACUACAGUGCCGGCACACAGAGCCCCAAGCAUCUGAGAUUCUCAACAAAUGCGCGCCAGAUAAAAAGUCAUUGAAGACGAAAAAUGGAUCACCCAGCCAGAAACUGCAGCUUCCAUUUAUGCCAUGUGCCUCCUCUAUAUUCAGAACUGUGCUAGCUCUGGGAUGAAUAUCAAAGAGAUAUUUAUUAAAACCACAAAUAAGGAUGGGAAGUUGUGAAAAGUUCCUGUUUGCAAAACUUUAUAACUUGGCAUAAUUGAGAUUUUAUUCAUCCAUUCAUUUUUAUGGAGACUCUACCACAAAGUAGGCACUUGUGUAUUAGUUAGAACUUGUGUGGUUCCAAGUGGCAGAAACCUAACUCAAACUCAUUUAAGCAGAAGAAGUUAUUAAUAAGGGAUAAUAGUCUGUGAUGUUUGUGACACCCAGACAGGAAUGUGCCCUGGACAUGGGAACAUCUGAAACCAGAAACUCAAAGACCAUUAGGGUUCUCAUUUAUUCUUCUUGUCUCUGCCUCCAUUCACUCUCUUCAUUAGUUUCACUCUUCAUUCUAGCUAGGGGUCAGCUUCUUCUUUGCGGUGAAAAACAUGGGAGCCGAUAGCCCCCAAAUUUACCAGUACAUCUAUAAAGCUUGGCUCCUGGCAAGAGACCUUAACAUUCUCUCUAGUUCCAAGUUGAAAAAUCCCAGGGAGGGAUUCUUUGAAGCAGUACAAGUCAGGGAAACUCCAGAGAGUCAUGAAACAGCACGGCAGCUCCUGUGGGAACCACAAAGGUGGGGAGCAGAGAGAGAAAAUUUCUGAAAGAGGGUGAGCUGCUGGGCAAACAAAACUAGAGGUGACUGUUACAUCCUUCCAUGUUUAUUUUUUCACACCAACUCAACCCAGCUACCUGCCAGUAAUUCCAUUCAUUCACAAGCACCUAUGCAUUUACUGUCUGCUGUGAGCCAGGCAAUGUGCUAGAUUUAGGGGAUGAAAAGAUGACCAUGAGGCCUCCUGAGAGUUCUAGGCACUCAGAGAUACUGAGAAAUACAAAAUGCCCUUGGUACAGAACCGCUAGGAAGUUACCGUGUAACUGGAGAAAGAAGGUUGUGCGUUUGGAGUCAUCCAGUGGCAAGCUGGGUGCUGUGGAUAUGAGAGUAGACUAUGGUAAGCAGGGUCAGUGAGGCCUGGAAAAUUCAGGGGAAGCAUCUUGGAGAGGGUGAUACGUCUAUAGUGUCUUUAGUAGGUGAGGAAGUUUUUGUUUGACUACAUGUGCUCUAAGUGCAGGAUUUUCACAGCAUCACACUGAGGCCCUCUGUUCACGGCUGUCGGCGUCCAGAGGCCAUUGGGAAUGCGGCCAGCGGCAGGGGGCCAUGUUCCUUUCUCAGAGACAGGACUACCACCCACAGCUCUUCUGAUAGUCUUGUUUUUAAUUGUCACGGCCCGUUGGAUGAAGUCCUCUGAGUUUGAUGCAAGUUCAGAAUAAUUCAAGGAUUAACUCAUCUUUCUGGGCUCAAGGAGCUACACAAGCAACAUCUGGUACAGCCUGCAGAGGGAUUCUUCACCCAAGGAGUUUCAGAUUUCAACAUGUGAGCCAUUGUCCUGAAUAACAUCAUCGACGGGAAACAGCACUCAGAGACCUCAUCUCAUAGCAAAAGCUCUG